rnacentral:lncRNA from 1 species
UUUUGAAUGUGCCACCUGUUUCCUGCUUGGAGGCUGACAUACAACUAGAUGUGAAGAAACAGAGAAUGGGACGAUUCAAGCGUCAUAAGUGUGGAGUUAAAAGAAGAUUGCUGGUGAAUCUUUGGGGUUGGUGGUGGGGGAAACCCCAACAUUAAAAGGACAGGUGGAAGAAGAGAGGACUGUAAAAGAAGGUGAGAAAACAUAAACAGGCACUUAAGAAGCAACCCCGGAACGAGCAUUUUCAUGGAGAUCAAAGGAAAAGGAAUUUCAAAGUGGGCGUGGCUUAUUCUUAUCAAACGCCGAGAGUAAAGGUCAAACACUUUGGGAAGAGGGUAGUAUCCGCUGGAUUUGUCAAUCUGGGAGCUGUGGCAUCUUCGUUUUCUUUCCUGAGAAAAACAUAGGAAGUCUGUUCACUGGACCUGGAGAGCCAUAAAAGAGAUAAAGUCUGUGAGAAGACAACAAUCUUAACAACUAACACGUACUGAACUCCUCGCGUUGGCAAGGCACUGUACUAAAAUUUGGUGAUGGUGGUGGGUAAAUGAUCACAGACGAUUGCUUGCUGUUUUAGUUAGGAGAAUAAGCCACCCUGCCUGCUAAAGAGGAUAGCUAAUCAUGAUGAUGAUUUAAUCUCAUUCAGUUCAAUUCAGCAGUUGUUGAACCAGGUCCAUCUCCAGCUAGUAUGUCCAGAGAGGAUCAUGCAAUCAAUCUUCUCAAACAGGUACUGUUCAUUAAAAUAUUGAAAUAGUAACAUGGGGUUGGUAGAUAGUAUGAGAAUUGUUUAUAGUUAACAAUUUUACAUAAAUUCUAACGUAAACUCAUUAGGUCCAGCUAACUAUUGUAUAGGCCAG